AUAGUGACACCGAAAGGAAAAUGUGUGCCGAAUUCAUACUUGGUUUAACCAUUUUUCGUAUACUACAAGCACAUUAAAAAUAACCCAACAUUUUUUUCUAAAAGAGGUUUAGUAAGCUGGAGUAUGGGAUACAAAUAGGAAAUUGAUUCAAAUAUCUAAACAUAGUAAGAGUAAAGCACUCAGCAUUCAGUCUCCCUUAAAAAACUACUCUCUUCAAACACCUGUCUCCUCUGAAGAUCAGAAGAGACAAAGAGCUGAUCAUGUUUAGCUGAUUUUGUGUGGCAAACUGGAUAAACCUACAAGCAUAUCCAGUGUUCUUGUUCAUUUUUUAAAAAAAUACAAGAAAUAAAUAAAAAAAAUAUGCCCUGUUAAAUCAUUGCUCUGGGAAAACACACUGACAAGUUCUUCUCCCGGUUCUCAUUUCAGACGGGCACCAAGUGCAUAAUUCCUGCUCAGUGAAUGGUUUAAUGCAUUCAUACUGCUUCUCUGUUCAAAAAAUCUGACAGUGGAAUGAGCACUAUUGUAAUAAUAUUCCAAAAUGAAAAUGAAAAUGAAUGUCAGAAAUAAUGAUAGGAGAGGGUUUCACAGCCUGCCAGUCCAACUUUAACAAGAGUAAAUCUGCAUUUCUAAUAAUUCCUCAUUAUUUAUUUCAAAGUACCAUAGGCAGAACCUUUGUAUAUAAUGAAAGAAUAACAUAUAAGGGUCUCUUUAAAUAUUUCUUAGAAGAUAAUAGAUACAUAAAUACAUAAACUUAUUUUCUAAUGUGAAAAAGAUCAAGAACAUUAAGAUUUUGCCAGAAUUGUACAUCUGGUUCUAUGUCAUAUCUGGAUAUCCCCUCUUGCUGCCCCCCAACACACUUGAAAGAGCCUUUUAUAAAUAACCCACUUACAUCUCUUAAAAAUUAUCCUUCCAACCUACCUUUUAGAUUAUAAUCUUAGGAUGCUAAGAAAGAAUAGAAGCAUCAGAGGAUAACGAGGUGAAGGUAUGAAAAUAAUAAAAAAUUACAACAGGCGAGAGCGCUCAAGCCCAUGGUAAUAACAAACACGUAGGCCAAGUGGUUGAAAAGCAAUAAGUAAACUAGAAUUCUGUGUUUAAAUGACAUAAUAAAUUCAUUUUAUAUUUUUUCUAUGUAAUAUUAUCAUCAUAAUUAUAAUAAAAUAAUAAUAAUUAUACAAUAACAAUAAAGACCUAGGAAGGGGAUGGUUUCAUAAAAGAGGUAUGAAACAGAGAAAAUUAAACAUUGGGUAGAAUAAAUUUCUGUCUUCUAUUCUACCCUUCACAAUUGUUAGCAUCUAUGAUAUCAUCUUUGCUUUUAUUCAUUAUGCUUUUCUAAAAUUUACUAUUUAUUUUAGGCUUACAAUUUUGAGGUUAUUACUUUUUAGUCCAGGGGUAAAUUAAUAAAUAUUAAAGGGAUGUGAAAACAUAUGAAAUAAUAUACUGAUACUUGUCCACAUACCACCUAAAAUAGUCUUAGGACAUUGGUGGUAAACGUACCACUUUUUGGAAAACUCUAAGAUAGAUUAGCUUGUCCUUUUUUUUCACCUAGUCAUUACGUAAUUAAGACUUAUUGUGUAUAAAACUCUCUAUUGGGCACUGGGAAAAUAAGGGCUAAUUGAACAUUAUUUUUGUUCUUGUGGCUCUCACAAUCCAGUAGGGAAAAAAGACACAUUAUCAGAUUAGACCGAAUCACUCCUGAGAUCUCUUCCACCAUAGAGAUUCUACGAUAUUCUGCAUCUGUGAGGCAAGUUGGAGGCCACACUUACAAAGUACAUAGAGUUCUUUGACUUCUCAGGUGCCUCUGGAAAGGACUUAAUAUUCAUCUGAUAUUCAAGAAGUUGAAAGAUCAAUUUAGGGGAAAAAAGCCUUCCUCCCUGAACAUAUUAUAAAUCUAUUAGAUACAUCGAAAUAAAAGGUCACCGAGUCAAGUGAGCCAGUUUAUAUCCAAGAACAAUAUUUGUAGUUAUGAAUGUAAUGAAAUCUUUUGCUGUAAGAAUUAAUUUCCCCAAUGUAUAGUUGGCUGAAUAAUUGGUUUGGUGAAGGCAGACAAAUUUUCAUAUUUCUCAAAAGCAAUAUUGGCCACUGCUCAUUUGAAGGCACCUGCCUUUUUGUGGGUGGAACAUGCUAUGUCCCUAUUAAGCACAUUGAGCUUAUGAUGGUUGUCUGCAAGUGGCAGAGAUAUGGGAGACAUUCUGUCACUCAGCAUCAAUUUAGAAUUUAAUAGCAAAUAUUCUUGUCAUCAAAAACUCUGUACGUGGGUCCUAACGUGGACAAUGCUUCAGUUCUGAUGUCGCUGUCAAGCUGUUCUACUUUAAGGCAAAGGAGAUUGAGAUGUUUAGUCCCUAAUGCACACUGCUGCUCCAAUUUUGAAAUUUCCCUCCCAUAUUAAAAAAAAAAGUCCUUUGAAAAGUACUUUCUAUUUCUAUUUAAAGUACAAGAAGCAGCUUUGUAUUUUGGUCCUAUUAACGUCCUUUGAAACCAGAUUUGUAUUAAUUUCAAAAGUUCUUACAAUGACAAAGUCAAAUGAAAUGCUUUCCCAAGAAAUAAUUAUAGUAUAAAACUCGCUGGUACUGUCAUUAGCAUACUAGAGAAUUUUCUGUCUCAUUUACCAACUCUACCUUGCCAUCCCCCCAAAGAGCUGUCCCCAAAACAGAUGCUUUUGUGGCCUCUUAAAAGAGGGUUUUCCCCUAUUAUUCGUGGUACAAAGAAUUAGCAGGGGACGUCUGGCUCCAUAUGAAUCACUCCACAACUCCUCCUGAAGGAAAGGUAAAUUCCUGGUCAAAGAACUCAGGAACAUUUAACUAGACUAUUUUCACCAAGCAGUUACUCUGCAUAGUUGGGGAAAUAGAUUUGAAAUUAUUCUAGAGUCCUGUUUGAUGGAAUAAGAAAAUUUGUUAAGAAGAAGAAAGGGGGCAACACUAACACAUGGAAACACCAUCACUCUGUUCUUCUAUUAUAUGUAGGGUUCAUUCUGGGCAUUAAAAAAAAAAAAAAAGAAUUGAGGAGUUCUCAUAGUGUCUCACUGGUUAAUGAAUCUGACCAGGAACCAUGAGGUUUCAGGUUCAAUCCCUGGCCUCGCUCAGUGGAUUAAGGAUCCAGCAUUGCCACGAGCUGCGGUGUAGGUCGCAGACGCAGCUCAGAUCCCAUGUUGCUGUGACUCUGGCGAAGGCCAGCGGCUGCAGCUCCAAUUAGACCCCUAGCCUGGGAACCUCCAUAUUCCAUGGGUGUGGCCCUAAAAAGAC
rnacentral:lncRNA from 1 species